rnacentral:lncRNA from 1 species
GAUUCAGAAUCCAAGACCAACAAGUCCACAGCCUCCUGCUACCACCUCAAAAAUCCUUCCGUUUAUUUGCCGGAAGGUGGUUCCUCGAAACAGAUCUAUGUCAGCAACAGCAAGUGACAAGCCCAUACUGCCGUCGUUGCAAGCACCUGAAAGCCGUGGGCCUCGUAUGCAGAAAUUCCCUGUGGCUGGGGCAGCUCCAUAUGUUCCCAUCCAACAGUUCAGGACACCUUGCCAUGGCAUUGCUCCUCCAGUGACAAUAAGAACCACUGUGCCUGUUUUCUCUGCGCCUCCGCGUCCAGCACCAUCUGCAGUAUCCCCUCAGCCACCAGCAUCUGCAGUUCCUACUCAGCAAGGACAGUCCGGUCCUUCCUCCCAGCCACCACAAUGUGCAGCUUCUCCUCUGCAGCCACCAUCUACAGUUCCACCCCAAUUGCUACGUAUCCCUCCACCUGUCACUAUUAGGCAAGCAAUUCCAGUAUUUGCUUCUCCACCAGUACGAAAACAAGAUAAUCCACCAGUUAUAAACGAAGACACCACAACUGCCACUAAAUCACAUGCUCAAGUAGAGGA